GCGGGGAUGGCCCAGCCAGGCAAGGCGAUGGAUUGCUAAUCCAUUGUCCGAAAAGGACUCGGGGGUUCAAAUCCCCCUCCCCGCG
rnacentral:tRNA from 1 species